rnacentral:rRNA from 1 species
AUUGAACGCUGGCGGCAGGCCUAACACAUGCAAGUCGAACGAGUGGCGGACGGGUGAGCAAUGUCUGGGCAUCUUCCUGAUGGAUGGGGAUAACUACUGGAAACUGUAGCCAAUACCGCAUACAUUCGGAUGUGCCCAGAUGGGAUUAGCUUGUUGGUGGGGUAAAGGCUCACCAAGGCGACGAUCCCUAGCUGGUCUGAGAGGAUUACCAGCCACACUGGAACUGAGACACGGUCCAGACUCCUACGGGAGGCAGCAGUGGGGAAUAUUGCACAAUGGGCGAAAGCCUGAUGCAGCCAUGCCGCGUGUAUGAAGAAGGCCUUCGGGUUGUAAAGUACUUUCAGCGGGGAGGCGUUACCCGCAGAAGAAGCACCGGCUAACUCCGUGCCAGCAGCCGCGGUAAUAC